rnacentral:rRNA from 1 species
CCUACGGGUGACAGCAGUGAGGAAUAUUGGUCAAUGGGCGAGAGCCUGAACCAGCCAAGUCGCGUGAGGGAGUACUGCCCUAUGGGUUGUAAACCUCUUUUGUCGGGGAGCAAAAGCCGGACGUGUCCGGCUGUGAGAGUACCCGAAGAAAAAGCAUCGGCUAACUCCGUGCCAGCAGCCGCGGUAAUACGGAGGAUGCGAGCGUUAUCCGGAUUUAUUGGGUUUAAAGGGUGCGCAGGCGGAUUUUUAAGUCAGCGGUAAAAUCGUGGGGCUCAACCCCAUCCAGCCGUUGAAACUGGGGAUCUAGAGUGUGCGAGAGGUAUGCGGAAUGCGUGGUGUAGCGGUGAAAUGCAUAGAUAUCACGCAGAACCCCGAUUGCGAAGGCAGCAUACCGGUGCACAACUGACGCUCAGGCACGAAAGCGUGGGUAUCGAACAGGAUUAGAUACCCCUGUAGUC